UUCAAUGAAAAGAGUAAAGGGGUUGGUGUGUUUAAUUUGGAGAAUGGUAAUGUUGGGGCUAUGCCGAAUAAUUUUGGUUAUUCUCGGUUGUUUUGGUCAUCGCCAUUUAGGCUUAUCCCAGUGUUGCAGUUGGAAAUAAGAUAGGAAUGCACGUUAAGCAUUCAAAUUCACGGAAGAGGCAGCCACUUAACAAUGCAGAAGCAAUCCGAAGAGGUUGACGUUAAGUGCAAGUCAACGAUGGAAUCAUGUUGUACCAAGCCCUUGAGUAUGCGGUAUGUUGCUGGUAGAUUGGAAGGCUUUAAUGUGAGGGUAGUUUUGGUAUCUUCACAAAACAAGUCGAUAUUUUGAGGGGUCGCAAAUUGUAAUUGACGACGAUAGAAUAUCUAAUAGAAUUGAUCAAAUGAACAUAUUUGGUGAGUUGCUCUACAUCUCGAGAGUAGGUUGUUUCCAAAUAGAUAGACCAUCUCCGAAAUCAUGGUCCUUUACUAAUUUGUUUGAUUUUCCUGUUCAUUGUCAAUGUAUACUUUUGCUGGUUCCAUCAUCGACUGAUUAAUAUGCACAUUCCAUGUCCACGGACUAAAGUGACAUCAAAUUGAACUA